rnacentral:pre_miRNA from 11 species
AAUGAUGGUAUGGAGCCAAGGAUGACAUGUCUAUGGCAAUCGUCUGUCCAUUGGAACAUAGUGGACAGUCGACAUGCAUGCAUUGACAUGUCCUCUUUGGCUGCAUUCUUUUCUUUCU